AGUUUGGCGUUGGGGUGUCAGCCUGUGAUUUCCUGAUCUCCAACUCCACUCCUCUUAAGUCACCCAGCCUAAGGCACUGAACCUCAUCAUCAGAACCUCAGAGUCCAACAUCUUGACCAUAGCCUUGCAACCCCACUGUUAGGUGAGUUUCAAGUUCUCACUCCCCAUAAACUUCUUCAGACCACUGCUCCCUCGAAUGACUUUGUUUCCUCCCAGGUCAUCAGUUUCCUUAGUCAAUUUCCAAGUCCUAUCAGUUGUAGACACUACGAUUGGUCAUCCCAUCUGAGUGACUAUUUCACUUAAACUUGCCUUUCCUCCUCUGUUUGCAAUAACUCUCAUACAUAGCUCUAGCUUAACAUCCACGUUGCCUUCUCUAUUCUUACCUCCAGGACAGCAGAACACUAAACAUUAAGUUCUUCAAUGCUAAAAAACAUCCUGUAAUCACGAAAAUCAGCCCAGUACAAAUUCAUGCUCACUACACGUGGUUCUCAGCUGCUGUGGGGCCUCUCUCUUCCCUUCAGUAUCCACAGACUUGCAACGUUCUUCUCAGCCUUCCUUCGCACCACUAAAUUAUCUCAUUAAGUCAGGACCAUCUGGUGGGAACUCCUUUAACUUCCCAGGGCCCAGGAAAAAUAAACCAUAUUUACCCAUGCCUCCCUCUUUCUCCAUGUGCCUUUUCAAGAAGAGAGGCUCUUCUCCCAGUGUCUCUCUCCCUGAUUCCAUAUCACCCUCUCUUCUUUGGGAUACUUCUCCAAAGAGUGUGGUCUUUCAGGUAUCCUUACUGUCUUAUGACUGAGUCAUUCCACUUGGCUUAUGAACCUCUUUGUUGCUUAUUCCAGGCACUCUGAGUCUCCCCUGCAUUCAGUCUCCCUUCAGCAUACAACACUGUUCAUGAUGCUUUUUGUAAAGCCCUCUGCUUCCCCAUCCUCCU
rnacentral:lncRNA from 1 species